AUGCAGAAUUUCUUCGAAUCACAACUGUUCCCCUUGAGUCCAGAUUUUUUUUUAGAGUUAGACAGACAUUCCAGUCAGCUCAUCAAAGUCAUUAGCAGCAAAGGUGGAGCCACACGAGUCAAAACUAGCAACUACAUGACUGCUUUGAAUCAGACUAGUGACAUCAACACAAGGAGAGAAUUAGUGCUUUGAUCCCUUAUGCUCUAUCUUAGUGAGGAUGACAAGUUCCUGUUAAAACACUGUCUGGAUUGUCAAGUUGAGAAAGCUGAACAAGACAUGGAAAGAAUGACCAUGGGCAUCCUCAUCAUCCAGAAGGAGGGUGAUGAACUUUUUAGUUCACUUGCAGAUGUUGGGAUCAUCAUUGAGGGUGUUGAGGUGAUGAAUGAACUCUCUUUAGUUGCCUCUGCUUGUGCAAUACUGUUUG